GAAACUAUUUCUUUAACAGGAGCUGCAGCAGACCAAAUCAAAACAGGUUUGUAGUAAUGCGCAUUUACCACAUGAACAAGUGAUCGCUAAGAAUGCCCAUGUUGAACAUAAUCUUGGAGUGCAGAAAGGUGGUCAUGAACCAAGUUUACGACCUCACCAAGUCACUAAGCAGAAUGCUAGUGCUGAAAAUAGCAAGGCAACCAAGCCAUGUGGUCAUCACCAAGUCACUAAGCAGGAUAAAACAGAAGUUGUGUUGUAUUCAAUGAACUCGAGAAACAAAGACAAGCCGGUGGUCCAAGGAACUUUAGUGAGUAAAGAGAAAACAUAUGUGGUUGGAGGAUACAUGCUUGGAGUGCAAUACGUUGCAGUUCUUGUUCGUGGCUAUACAUAUCUAGCAAAUGAGAGACUAGUUAGACCAUAUGAAAAAUUUGAAACAGUAAAGGAUGCUUUUGGUUCUGUUAUUGCUUGGCCUCGCUCACAUGUAAAAGUAGUUAAGCCAACCACUCCAGCACAACCACAAAGCAUUGGGUGAUGAUGACUUGAAAAGGGAGUGCAUUAAAGGAGCUAGGAGUAGUUGACCAGUUGACGGUUGUUGAUAUGAAAAGGGAGUGCAUUGGAGGAGUUGCGAGGAGUUGAUGAAUCUAUCUUUAAAUGAACAAUAUUAUGCAUUAUGUAUAGAUUUUAGAUUCGUAGAGAAACAUAGUUGUUCUCUAUAGGAUAUUUUCUUAUUUAUUUGCACAAGCGUAUGUUUCAUAUGAAUGUUUGGUAUUAUUCAGUUGUAAACUCCACGUACUUUAUGUGGAGACAUUGUUUCUGCUAAUUAAUGCAUUGGAUGUCAUUACUGUUGUUGCUA